GAAUAUUGGACAAUGGGCGCAAGCCUGAUCCAGCCAUACCGCGAGGGUGAAGAAGGCCUUCGGGUUGUAAAGCUCUUUUGUUGGGAAAGAAAAGCAGUCGGUUAAUACCCGGUUGUUCUGACGGUACCCGAAGAGUAAGCUCCGGCUAACGUCUUGCCAUCAGCCGCGGUAAUACGAAGGGUGCAAGCGUUACUCGGAAUUACUGGGCGUAAAGCGUGCGUAGGUGGUUGUUUAAGUCUGUUAUGAAAGCCCUGGGCUCAACCUGGGAAUUGCAGUGGAUACUGGGCGACUAGAGUGUGGUAGAGGGUAGUGGAAUUCCCGGUGUAGCAGUGAAAUGCGUAGAGAUCGGGAGGAACAUCCAUGGCGAAGGCAGCUACCUGGACCAACACUGACACUGAGGCACGAAAGCGUGGGGAGCAAACAGG
rnacentral:rRNA from 1 species